UUGUUCUGUGUCCAGCGCUUAACUGCGCGGACGCUCCUUCUACACAGUGAUUAUUUUACUGGAUUGCUUUGCCGUGUGCGUGAGCCGCGGCAGAGACUAAACACAAGAUUUAUUCUUUUUAUAACCACAGUCAAACAACGAACUAAUAAUUCA
rnacentral:precursor_RNA from 1 species